rnacentral:tRNA from 1 species
GCGCUUGUGGCGGAAUUGGUAGACGCGCCAGACUUAGGAUCUGGUGUCUCCCGACGUGCAGGUUCGAGUCCUGUCAGGCGCACCA